AGAGUUUGAUCCUGGCUCAGAACGAACGCUGGCGGCAGGCUUAACACAUGCAAGUCGAACGCACCUUCGGGUGAGUGGCAGACGGGUGAGUAACGCGUGGGAACGUGCCCUUCGGUUCGGAAUAACCCAGGGAAACUUGGGCUAAUACCGGAUACGUGCGAGAGCAGAAAGAUUUAUCGCUGAAGGAUCGGCCCGCGUCUGAUUAGCUAGUUGGUGGGGUAAUGGCCCACCAAGGCGACGAUCAGUAGCUGGUCUGAGAGGAUGAUCAGCCACAUUGGGACUGAGACACGGCCCAAACUCCUACGGGAGGCAGCAGUGGGGAAUAUUGGACAAUGGGCGCAAGCCUGAUCCAGCCAUGCCGCGUGAGUGAUGAAGGCCUUAGGGUUGUAAAGCUCUUUCGGCGGGGACGAUAAUGACGGUACCCGCAGAAGAAGCCCCGGCUAACUUCGUGCCAGCAGCCGCGGUAAUACGAAGGGGGCUAGCGUUGUUCGGAAUCACUGGGCGUAAAGGGCGCGUAGGCGGCUUGAUAAGUCGGGGGUGAAAGACGGUCGCUCAACGAUCGCAGUGCCCUGGAUACUGGGUAUCUUGAGUACAGAUGAGGCUGAUGGAAUGGGUGGUGUAGCGGUGAAAUGCAUAGAUACCAUCCAGAACACCGAUUGCGAAGGCAGUCAGCUAAACUGGCACUGACGCUGAGGCACGAAAGCGUGGGGAUCAAACAGGAUUAGAUACCCCCGUAGUCC
rnacentral:rRNA from 2 species